rnacentral:rRNA from 1 species
UCGGGAAUUUUGGGCAAUGGGCGAAAGCCUGACCCAGCAACGCCGCGUGAAGGAUGAAGUAUUUCGGUAUGUAAACUUCGUAAGAAUAGGAAGAAUAAAUGACGGUACUAUUUGUAAGGUCCGGCUAACUACGUGCCAGCAGCCGCGGUAAUACGUAGGGACCAAGCGUUGUUCGGAUUUACUGGGCGUAAAGGGCGCGUAGGCGGUGUGUCAAGUCAGUUGUGAAAUCUCCGAGCUUAACUCGGAACGGUCAACUGAUACUGUCACACUAGAGUACAGAAGGGGCAAUCGGAAUUCUUGGUGUAGCGGUGAAAUGCGUAGAUAUCAAGAGGAACACCAACGGCGAAAGCACUCUGCUGGGCCGACACUGACACUGAGAGACGAAAGCUAGGGGAGCAAAUGGGAUUAGAUACCCAAGUAGUCCCUGAGCGGGCUGGCAAGGCGCAU